GUUUAUUUAUAAAUUUCAACAAUUACAAACAGUAAGACAAACAACAAUAUACAACAUUAUAAAACAUUAUGAAAACAGUACAAAACAGCGCCAGGGGGUUGUAAGUUCAAAAUAAUAAAAAAAGAAUACAAACAUAUAUAUAUAAAUAAUAAACAAAAUGCAAAGCCGUAGGCUUAUUCAGAUUCAUCAAACAACUUAAAUUUGGAACGCAGCAUCAUCGUUUUCACAGCUUUUUUGUUGUUAGAGGUAGAGAGUGUUUUCAUGUAAAGUUCCAGAUCUUUUUUAAAGGCACAAAAGAUAGGACGGGUAUUAAGAAACUUACAUUUAUGAUUAUAAAACUUAGCUAAUAAAAUAAUGAGGUUGCAAAGGUAGAAUUCCUUUUCAAAUUUUUGUUCAUACAGUGUAAAACCAAAAAUCACAUCUUUAAAGUAAAGCACAAAUUUGUCAUAAAUAUUGUCCAGAAUAAAGCGACAGAUGCCCUGCCAUAGUGAUCGAGUGUUUUCACAAGUCCAAAACAAGUGGUUGACAGUUUGAAUUGAAGGGCCGAGCAGCUUUGUCUCUGACGUCAUCAGUGCGCGCCCAUCACAUUCCGACUUCCGACACACCUGUAUCAUCAGCCAGGACAAGACACGUCACUGCCAGCACGGCAGCCAUCUUCCAGUCAGCAGGCGAGUCCUUCGUGAACGAUCCGCUUCUUUGAGGGGGCGGAGCUUUCGUCAGCAAUGGAGCGGACGAGCCCUUUUCUUCUUCUUCGUUGGUGGCGUGUGUGCAUGAACCAGACCAGGACGCCGAGGGGGACAACAAACGCUUUUUUUUUAAUACGAAAGAGAACUAAGAACCAGGUAAAAACUAGUGAGUCUACAGUGACAGUGUAUUGAGUUGAAAGCAGAAUAUUAUUAUCAUUGUUCAGCAGCAAUGAGGUCACCGCACAUCACGACUAAGGUCUAGAAACAACAUGGCCGCUGGCCGACAUGGUGGCUUCUGGCAAGACGCACGAGGUUAUAGGCACUAGACUCUGGAACAUGCAAAAUGGCGGCUGCUUGCGUGGGCGGGCGAGCUUUGAAUGCCGCGAUGGAACCUUGCAGUUGUUUCAGCCUUCCGUUUGAGUGCGACUGUUUCCCGUCAUUCAGUUCUACGCUGGGGGAAAAAAUCAUCUGUAGAUUUGACAGUAAACGGCAGCUCCGUUGCUUGAAAUUUUUACUAAGAAUUAACGUGAAUGGAAAAACGCUAACACCAGUAUUUUAAUGGUAAAAUCCAGUUUUUUUUUUAAUCUUUGGUUGUUUUUUCAGUGCCUUACUGUAAAUGGAAAAACAGUACUGUAAAGUUCUGCUUUUUUGUUGUUGUUUUGUUUACCGUCAAAUCUACAGUUGUUGCUUUUUAGUGCAUUACUGUAGAUCAGGGGUGUCCAAAGUGUGGCCACGGGGGCCAUUUGUGGAAUGCAGAUACUUUUUUGAAAGACCU